AUUGAACGCUGGCGGCAGGCCUAACACAUGCAAGUCGAGCGAGCGGCGGACGGGUGAGUACUGUAUGGGGACUGCCCGUUAGCGGGGGAUAACUACUGGAAACGGUAGCUAAUACCGCAUACUAUCCGAUAACCCAUAUGGGAUUGGCUAGUUGGGGAGGUAAUGGCUCACAAAGGCGACGAUCCCUAGCUGGUCUGAGAGAAUGAUCAGCAACACUGGGACGUAGACACGGCCCAGACUCCUACGGAGGCAGCAGUGGGGAAUAUUGCACAAUGGGCGCAAGCCUGAGGCAGCCAUGCCGCGUGUAUGAAGAAGGCCCUAGGGUUGUAAAGUACUUUCAGUCGGGAGGCGUUACCGACAGAAGAAGCACCGGCUAACUCCGUGCCAGCAGCCGCGGUAAUUC
rnacentral:rRNA from 1 species